AAAAAGGCAAACCAUGAGUUUCCGUGUCUUCGUCUUAUAUGAAGUUUUUUUAUAAUUCGUAUUUUCAUUGUUAUUAGAUGAUAAAAUAUGAUUAAUAUUUUAUACGUGACUUGUCUUUUUAAUUUUUUUCAUAAUUUUUUCAAAUAAGACGGACGGUCAAACGUUGGGCACGGAAACCAGGGAUUGUCUUUUU
rfam:Oryza glumipatula chromosome 2, whole genome shotgun sequence.